rnacentral:tRNA from 1 species
GACGAGGUGGCCGAGUGGUUAAGGCGUUGGAUUGCUAAUCCAAUGGGCUCUGCCCGCGUGGGUUCGAAUCCCAUCCUCGUCG